CCUACGGGAGGCAGCAGUGAGGAAUAUUGGUCAAUGGGCGGAAGCCUGAACCAGCCAAGUCGCGUGAGGGAAGACGGUCCUAUGGGUUGUAAACCUCUUUUGGCAGGGAGCAACGCCGGCCACGCGUACCCGGACUGAGAGUACCUGCAGAAAAAGCAUCGGCUAACUCCGUGCCAGCAGCCGCGGUAAUACGGAGGAUGCGAGCGUUAUCCGGAUUUAUUGGGUUUAAAGGGUGCGUAGGCGGAAUGCCAAGUCAGCGGUAAAAUGGCGGGGCUCAACCCCGCCCGGCCGUUGAAACUGGGGAUCUUGAGUGGGCGAGAAGUAUGCGGAAUGCGUGGUGUAGCGGUGAAAUGCAUAGAUAUCACGCAGAACUCCGAUUGCGAAGGCAGCAUACCGGCGCCCGACUGACGCUGAGGCACGAAAGCGUGGGGAUCGAACAGGAUUAGAUACCCUUGUAGUC
rnacentral:rRNA from 1 species